AAAACGACUCUCGGCAACGGAUAUCUCGGCUCUCGCAUCGAUGAAGAACGUAGCAAAAUGCGAUACUUGGUGUGAAUUGCAGAAUCCCGUGAAUCAUCGAGUCUUUGAACGCAAGUUGCGCCCGAGCCCAUUAGGCUAAGGGCACGUCUGCCUGGGCGUCACGC
rnacentral:rRNA from 1 species